AAUGAACGUUGGCGGCGUGGAUUAGGCAUGCAAGUCGAGCGAGAAGUUUCCUUCGGGAAGUGGACAGCGGCGCAAGGGAGAGUAACGCGUGGAUAACCUGCCCUGGGGUCCGGGAUAGCUGUGGGAAACUGCAGGUAAUACCGGAUAAUAUCUUUGGAUCAAAGGUGUGAUUCCGCCCUAGGAUGGGUCCGCGUCCUACUAGCUUGUUGGUAAGGUAACGGCUUACCAAGGCUUCGAUGGGUACCGGGUGUGAGAGCAUGGCCCGGCUCACUGGGACUGAGACACUGCCCAGACACCUACGGGUGGCUGCAGUCGAGAAUAUUCGGCAAUGGACGAAAGUCUGACCGAGCGACGCCGCGUGCGGGAUGAAGGCCUUCGGGUUGUAAACCGCUGUCAGAGGGGAUGAAAUGCUAGGGGGUUAUCCCUCUAGUUUGACAAAUCCUCAGAGGAAGUACGGGCUAAGUACGUG
rnacentral:rRNA from 1 species